CAGAUCUGCCUUCUGGCGGCUUCCCACCUAGGAGCCAUGGGACCUUUGUGAAGUCACCAAUUGUGCUGUGGAUGCUUCAUUUGUGAAGGAGAACAGGACUGCCUUGUGAAAUUACGGAUGGUGCUACUAAAACAUAUCAAUAAUUUGAAUUUCACUUUUGUGGAUGCUUUAAACAUCAUAGUCAUUAGAAGGUGGAUCUGGCUGAUUGUACUUUAAGUUUUCAGUUUGAGCUGGAGCUUUGUAUUAUAACAGGAGGGUACUGGACAAGGUGAGUUGCUGAUAGCCUCCCCCCACCUGCCAACAGACCUAUCAUUAGAUGGAAUGUAAUGGACUUUGGCCAGUUGUUCUCCACCCCAGCUCUGACUUAGCGGCUCUGGCAAGAAUGGAUAUAUGAGCCUAAAUACAGAGCUUGUUGUGCUA
ensembl:lncRNA LINC01095 long intergenic non-protein coding RNA 1095